rnacentral:rRNA from 1 species
UUUAAUUCGAUGAUACGCGAGGAACCUUACCUGGGCUUAAAUGCUUAAUGACCGUAUGGGAAACUGGUAUUUCUUCGGCAUUUUGCAAGGUGCUGCAUGGUUGUCGUCAGCUCGUGCCGUGAGGUGUCGGGUUAAGUCCCAUAACGAGCGCAACCCCUAUUGUUAGUUGCCAUCAGGUCAUGCUGGGGACUCUAACAAAACUGCCCGCGUAAGCGUGGAGGAAGGUGGGGAUGACGUCAAAUCAGCACGGCCCUUACGUCCAGGGCUACACACGUGCUACAAUGGUCGGUACAAAGGGUUGCCAAGCCGCGAGGUGGAGCUAAUCCCAUAAAACCGAUCGUAGUCCGGAUCGCAGUCUGCAACUCGACUGCGUGAAGUCGGAAUCGCUAGUAAUCGUGAACUCACGAAUCGUCACGGUGAAAUAACGUUCCGGGCCUU